AAUGGGUCAGCGACUUAUAUUCUGUAGCAAGGUUAACCGAAUAGGGGAGCCGAAGGGAAACCGAGUCUUAACUGGGCGUUAAGUUGCAGGGUAUAGACCCGAAACCCGGUGAUCUAGCCAUGGGCAGGUUGAAGGUUGGGUAACACUAACUGGAGGACCGAACCGACUAAUGUUGAAAAAUUAGCGGAUGACUUGUGGCUGGGGGUGAAAGGCCAAUCAAACCGGGAGAUAGCUGGUUCUCCCCGAAAGCUAUUUAGGUAGCGCCUCGUGAAUUCAUCUCCGGGGGUAGAGCACUGUUUCGGCAAGGGGGUCAUCCCGACUUACCAACCCGAUGCAAACUGCGAAUACCGGAGAAUGUUAUCACGGGAGACACACGGCGGGUGCUAACGUCCGUCGUGAAGAGGGAAACAACCCAGACCGCCAGCUAAGGUCCCAAAGUCAUGGUUAAGUGGGAAACGAUGUGGGAAGGCCCAGACAGCCAGGAUGUUGGCUUAGAAGCAGCCAUCAUUUAAAGAAAGCGUAAUAGCUCACUGGUCGAGUCGGCCUGCGCGGAAGAUGUAACGGGGCUAAACCAUGCACCGAAGCUGCGGCAGCGACACUGUGUGUUGUUGGGUAGGGGAGCGUUCUGUAAGCCUGCGAAGGUGUGCUGUGAGGCAUGCUGGAGGUAUCAGAAGUGCGAAUGCUGACAUAAGUAACGAUAAAGCG
rnacentral:rRNA from 1 species